CCCUUAGAUGUUCUGGGCCGCACGCGCGCUACACUGAUGCAUUCAACGAGCCUAUCCUUGACCGACAGGUCCGGGUAAUCUUUGAAUCUGCAUCGUGACGGGGAUAGAUUAUUGCAAUUAUUAAUCUUCAACGAGGAAUGCCUAGUAGGCGCAAGUCAUCAGCUUGCGUCGAUUACGUCCCUGCCCUUUGUACACACCGCCCGUCGCUCCUACCGAUUGGGUGUGCUGGUGAAAUGUUCGGAUCGGCCGUUUGUCGCGGUUUCCGCGGCUCGUGGCUGAGAAGUUCAUUAAACCCUCCCACCGAGAGGAAGGAGAAGUCGGAACA
rnacentral:rRNA from 1 species